AGUUUGAUCCUGGCUCAGAUUGAACGCUGGCGGCAGGCCUAACACAUGCAAGUCGAGCGCGAAAAGCUUUCGGGCUGAGUAGAGCGGCGGACGGGUGAGUAACGCGUAGGAAUCUACCUGGUAGUGGGGGACAACUUGGGGAAACUCAAGCUAAUACCGCAUACGCCCUAAGGGGGAAAGCGGGGGACCUUCGGGCCUCGCGCUAUCGGAUGAGCCUGCGUAGGAUUAGCUAGUUGGUGGGGUAAAGGCCCACCAAGGCGACGAUCCUUAGCUGGUCUGAGAGGAUGAUCAGCCACACUGGAACUGAGACACGGUCCAGACUCCUACGGGAGGCAGCAGUGGGGAAUAUUGCGCAAUGGGCGAAAGCCUGACGCAGCCAUGCCGCGUGUGUGAAGAAGGCCUUAGGGUUGUAAAGCACUUUCAAUUGGGAAGAAAAGUUUGUCGUUAAUAGCGCCAAGCUCUGACAUUACCUUUAGAAGAAGCACCGGCUAACUCCGUGCCAGCAGCCGCGGUAAUACGGAGGGUGCGAGCGUUAAUCGGAAUUACUGGGCGUAAAGCGCGCGUAGGCGGUUUGUUAAGUCAGCUGUGAAAGCCCCGGGCUCAACCUGGGAACUGCAGUUGAUACUGGCCGACUAGAGUACGAGAGAGGGAGGUAGAAUUUGUCGUCAGCUCGUG
rnacentral:rRNA from 1 species